GUGAAUGGAGCAACAGAUGAUGAGAUCGAAUUUCAACCCGACUUGGAUGAGGAAUCAAAUUUUGUAAGUCCCCGUACCUUCUGUACUUCAUUUGUUUUUGUGUUUGUACAAUGCUCAUACCUAAUUUCAUAUUUAGGAGCACGAAUUUCAGGUAGAUUUGGUUCAUCCGGUGGAUGCACCAUACUUUGUAGACCUACAGGAAGAAGUUGCUGAAAAUGAGAUGUAGACCUAGUGGAAAUCAACAACAAGAAGGUACUGGAAGGAAAGAUGGGAAUGUUGGGCAUCUGUCCGAUGAAGGUUCAACCACCGAAAGUACUAAGAAAGUUGGAGUUCAGGGGAAAGCAGUCGGUACUGAUGGUGGAGACAUGAAGAGGCGGAAGAUGGAGUAGCUGGAGUAGCUUAUGGAGUGAGUUAGAUUUGGGUGAACUCUGUUUUGUUAGUGUACUACGUUGUGUACUUGGAAGUACCUGAAUGUACAAAGUUCUUAGGAACGUUCAGUACGUAGGUGAUCGAUCUGGAAUUGUUUAAAUUUUG
rnacentral:lncRNA from 1 species